rnacentral:rRNA from 1 species
UCGGGAAUUUUGGGCAAUGGGGGAAACCCUGACCCAGCAACGCCGCGUGAAGGAUGAAGUAUUUCGGUAUGUAAACUUCGAAAGAAUAGGAAGAAUAAAUGACGGUACUAUUUAUAAGGUCCGGCUAACUACGUGCCAGCAGCCGCGGUAAUACGUAGGGACCAAGCGUUGUUCGGAUUUACUGGGCGUAAAGGGCGCGUAGGCGGCAUGACAAGUCACUUGUGAAAUCUCUGGGCUUAACCCAGAACGGCCAAGUUGAUACUGUCGCGCUAGAGUGCAGAAGGGGCAAUCGGAAUUCUUGGUGUAGCGGUGAAAUGCGUAGAUAUCAAGAGGAACACCUGAGGUGAAGACGGGUUGCUGGGCUGACACCGACGCUGAGGCGCGAAAGCCAGGGGAGCAAACGGGAUUAGAUACCCUGGUAGUCCCUGAGCGGGCUGGCAAGGCGCAU